rnacentral:lncRNA from 1 species
AAGAUCUUGAGCGAUACUGUGAUUAAAAACACUUUUGCUGUUCCUUAACUGAUAUUUACAAUAAUUUGGGAAUGUAAGUGUCUGAUUUAAAUUGCUAAUCAGCGUUUCUCUUAUGUUUUUUUUCCACUCUAGCCAUAACUCAGCAGUGUUAAUUUGCAUUGGUCUGACAUUUUGCAUAUAAGCUGCAUAAAAGCCAUUUAAAUAGGAAAUGGUCAGAUAUUUUGUAGCCCUUCUCUGACCUUCUCCUACAUUCCUGUACUACCACGAUUCUUUUCUGCACUUUUUUUUUGGUGGGAAAGGAGAAUCCUGGCUCAGGAUAUGCUGGGUUACCUACACAGAAGCUGGUGUUGAACUUCAGAGUACACAAGUUGGAGCAAAAACGUGCUAGUUCUGCUCUUCAUCCUCGCAGGACGAAGCCACUUUCUAGCCGUCAGUGUCACGGCUGCUGCAAAAAGAAUGGAAGUGUUACCGAG